rnacentral:rRNA from 1 species
ACGGGUGAGUAAUGCUUAGGAAUCUGCCUAUUAGUGGGGGACAACAUCUCGAAAGGGAUGCUAAUACCGCAUACGUCCUACGGGAGAAAGCAGGGGAUCUUCGGACCUUGCGCUAAUAGAUGAGCCUAAGUCGGAUUAGCUAGUUGGUGGGGUAAAGGCCUACCAAGGCGACGAUCUGUAGCGGGUCUGAGAGGAUGAUCCGCCACACUGGGACUGAGACACGGCCCAGACUCCUACGGGAGGCAGCAGUGGGGAAUAUUGGACAAUGGGGGAACCCUGAUCCAGCCAUGCCGCGUGUGUGAAGAAGGCCUUAUGGUUGUAAAGCACCUUAAGCGAGGGGGAGGCUACUUUAGUUAAUACCUAGAGAUAGUGGACGUUACUCGCAGAAUAAGCACCGGCUAACUCUGUGCCAGCAGCCGCGGUAAUACAGAGGGUGCGAGCGUUAAUCGGAUUUACUGGGCGUAAAGCGUGCGUAGGCGGCUUAUUAAGUCGGAUGUGAAAUCCCCGAGCUUAACUUGGGAAUUGCAUUCGAUACUGGUGAGCUAGAGUAUGGGAGAGGAUGGUAGAAUUCCAGGUGUAGCGGUGAAAUGCGUAGAGAUCUGGAGGAAUACCGAUGGCGAAGGCAGCCAUCUGGCCUAAUACUGACGCUGAGGUACGAAAGCAUGGGGAGCAAACAGGAUUAGAUACCCUGGUAGUCCAUGCCGUAAACGAUGUCUACUAGCCGUUGGGGCCUUUGAGGCUUUAGUGGCGCAGCUAACGCGAUAAGUAGACCGCCUGGGGAGUACGGUCGCAAGACUAAAACUCAAAUGAAUUGACGGGGGCCCGCACAAGCGGUGGAGCAUGUGGUUUAAUUCGAUGCAACGCGAAGAACCUUACCUGGCCUUGACAUACUAGAAACUUUCCAGAGAUGGAUUGGUGCCUUCGGGAAUCUAGAUACAGGUGCUGCAUGGCUGUCGUCAGCUCGUGUCGUGAGAUGUUGGGUUAAGUCCCGCAACGAGCGCAACCCUUUUCCUUACUUGCCAGCAUUUCGGAUGGGAACUUUAAGGAUAC